GGUGAGAUGGCCGAGUGGUUAUGGCGCUGCGUUCAGGAGACUACAGAUGUAGAUUAACUCUGAACAAGUUUCGCAGUGGAGCAAUCCGCGUGGGUUCGAGUCCCACUCUCAUCA